rnacentral:sRNA from 1 species
CUGCCAUGUUCCUCCCGGCAGGGAUUGUCCCAGCCCCAGCCGAGGGGGACCAAGCGCUGCAGUGAUGAGAACAGCCCAUGAGGGAGGUCAGGAGACCUGAAUUCCAGUCCUGGCAAGACCCCACCCAGCCUGCUCUGUGACCUCACUCCCUCCCCAAGUCUCGAGCUCCUCAUCUGUAAAACAAGAGGCUGGAUGGUGGAGGAGUGUGGAGAGGGGCUCUGGAGGGCAAAGGGAAGAUUCCAGCAUGGGCCCAUCCCUGGGUGGUAGAAAGAGCACUGGGCCUGGAACCAGGACAGCCAGACCAUUGACUUCCUGAACGACAACAUUCGAAGAGGAAUUGAGAACUACUAUGAUGAUCUGGACUUCAAAAACAUCAUGGACUUUGUUCAGAAAAAGUUCAAGUGCUGUGGCGGGGAGGACUACCGAGAUUGGAGCAAGAACCAGUACCACGACUGCAGUGCCCCUGGACCCCUGGCCUGUGGGGUGCCCUACACCUGCUGCAUCAGGAACACGACAGAAGUUGUCAACACCAUGUGUGGCUACAAAACUAUCGACAAGGAGCGUUUCAGUGUGCAGGAUGUCAUCUACGUGCGGGGCUGCACCAACGCCGUGAUCAUCUGGUUCAUGGACAACUACACCAUCAUGGCGGGCAUCCUCCUGGGCAUCCUGCUUCCCCAGUUCCUGGGGGUGCUGCUGACGCUGCUGU